GACUGUUAAUCAGGGGGUCGUAGGUUCAAGUCCUACAAGGGGAGCCA
rnacentral:tRNA from 1 species